rnacentral:rRNA from 1 species
GUAGCGUUUGGCGUGCUAUACAUGCAGUCGAGCGGACAGAUGGGAGCUUGCUCCCUGAUGUUAGCGGCGGACGGGUGAGUAACACGUGGGUAACCUGCCUGUAAGACUGGGAUAACUCCGGGAAACCGGGGCUAAUACCGGAUGGUUGUUUGAACCGCAUGGUUCAAACAUAAAAGGUGGCUUCGGCUACCACUUACAGAUGGACCCGCGGCGCAUUAGCUAGUUGGUGAGGUAACGGCUCACCAAGGCGACGAUGCGUAGCCGACCUGAGAGGGUGAUCGGCCACACUGGGACUGAGACACGGCCCAGACUCCUACGGGAGGCAGCAGUAGGGAAUCUUCCGCAAUGGACGAAAGUCUGACGGAGCAACGCCGCGUGAGUGAUGAAGGUUUUCGGAUCGUAAAGCUCUGUUGUUAGGGAAGAACAAGUACCGUUCGAAUAGGGCGGUACCUUGACGGUACCUAACCAGAAAGCCACGGCUAACUACGUGCCAGCAGCCGCGGUAAUACGUAGGUGGCAAGCGUUGUCCGGAAUUAUUGGGCGUAAAGGGCUCGCAGGCGGUUUCUUAAGUCUGAUGUGAAAGCCCCCGGCUCAACCGGGGAGGGUCAUUGGAAACUGGGGAACUUGAGUGCAGAAGAGGAGAGUGGAAAUUCCACGUGUAGCGGUGAAAUGCGUAGAGAUGUGGAGGAACACCAGUGGCGAAGGCGACUCUCUGGUCUGUAACUGACGCUGAGGAGCGAAAGCGUGGGGAGCGAACAGGAUUAGAUACCCUGGUAGUCCACGCCGUAACGAUGAGUGCUAGUGUUAUGGGGUUUCCGCCCCUUAUGCUGCAGCUAACGCACUAAGCACUCCGGCCUGGGGAGUACGGUCGCAGACUGAUACUCUAAGAGUGACGGAGGCCCCGACUAGCCGUGAGCAUGAGAUUUAUUCUAAAGCAUCUGCGCAGAACUAUCAGUCGUGUAUCCGUCGAUAGUCAUCAGGUAGUACGUCCCUUCCCGCUAAUGAACGCUAUGUCUAGU